rnacentral:rRNA from 1 species
GACGAACGCUGGCGGCGUGCCUAAUACAUGCAAGUCGAACGCAUUUUCUUUCACCGUAGCUUGCUACACCGAAAGAAAAUGAGUGGCGAACGGGUGAGUAACACGUGGGUAACCUGCCCAUCAGCGGGGGAUAACACUUGGAAACAGGUGCUAAUACCGCAUAAUUCCAUAUACUGCAUGGUAGAUGGAUGAAAGGCGCUUUUGCGUCACUGAUGGAUGGACCCGCGGUGCAUUAGCUAGUUGGUGGGGUAACGGCCUACCAAGGCUGCGAUGCAUAGCCGACCUGAGAGGGUGAUCGGCCACACUGGGACUGAGACACGGCCCAGACUCCUACGGGAGGCAGCAGUAGGGAAUCUUCGGCAAUGGACGCAAGUCUGACCGAGCAACGCCGCGUGAGUGAAGAAGGUUUUCGGAUCGUAAAACUCUGUUGUUAGAAAAGAACAAGGAUGAGAGUGGAAAGUUCAUCCCUUGACGGUAUCUAACCAGAAAGCCACGGCUAACUACGUG